GGCCGGUUAGCUCAGUGGUUUGAGCGCGGUGCUGACAACAAUGACAACACCAAGAUCGCAGGUUCGAUUCCCGCUCAGUCCC
rfam:Apaloderma vittatum contig34431, whole genome shotgun sequence.